AGAGUUUGAUUCUGGCUCAGGAUGAACGCUGGCGGCGUGCCUAACACAUGCAAGUCGAACGGAGAUUCAUUGGAAAUAAGCUCGGCAGAAAUAAGAUGGAUCUUAGUGGCGGACGGGUGAGUAACGCGUGGAGAACCUGCCCUGUACAGGGGGAUAACAUCCAGAAAUGGAUGCUAAAACCGCAUAAGCGCACAUGACCGCAUGGUCAAGUGUGAAAAAACUCCGGUGGUACAGGAUGGCUCCGCGUUGGAUUAGCCAGUUGGCGGGGUAACGGCCCACCAAAGCGACGAUCCAUAGCCGGCCUGAGAGGGUGGACGGCCACAUUGGGACUGAGACACGGCCCAGACUCCUACGGGAGGCAGCAGUGGGGAAUAUUGCACAAUGGGGGGAACCCUGAUGCAGCGACGCCGCGUGAAGGAAGAAGUAUUUCGGUAUGUAAACUUCUAUCAGCAGGGAAGAAAAUGACGGUACCUGACUAAGAAGCCCCGGCUAACUACGUGCCAGCCGCGGC
rnacentral:rRNA from 1 species